rnacentral:lncRNA from 1 species
GCGACUUAAAACAUGAUUAUUAAAAUAGAUUUAAGAAUAAGGAUAAGAGUUAAGGCAACAUAUAUAAGAAAUAAAAUUAAAAAAUCAUUAAAAGAAAUUGUAACCGCUGCUCAUUAAUAAAAAUCCAUCUUGGUUGGAAGAAUUUCAAUAAAAAUACAGAUGGUAUUUGAUUUGAAUUUGAAAAGUAAAUUAAGGAAACACAAACGACCACAUAUACAUAGGUCGGGCCGUGCCCUUGGACACGACAACACAACCCUCCAAUAAUGUUAAUCUCUUUAUUAUCGUUCCCAAAACACCUUUCCAAACUUUUCCUGCAUUAAAAGUCAUGAAGAUAAUUCAUUAAUUUGAUCAAACAGUAAGGUUAAUUAUGUCAUUGUAUAUUUGUGGGUCAAGUUAAGUGAAGCAUUCUCUUCCAUAUUGAUCAUUUCCCAUGCAAACGUACAACAAACUUUUCAGCACUUUAAUCUCACCGUUCAGUGUUAAACUCUCUCUUUAUUCAACGCACCGACACUUGAAUCUUGAUGGCAAUAUAAGUAGUAGGCAUGGCUGCUGAAGAAGAAGGGAAAAAGAGAAAUGAGUUUUAUAGAAAAAGAUAAAGAAGAAGAUAAAUAGAUGAUGCAUUAUUCAUCAAAGCAUCAAAUACUGUUAGUGGGUGAAAGAGAUUUCUCGUUUUCUUUUGCUUAUCGCAGAAAUUUGGCUCUGCUUCUAACAUCUGGGAUUCUUCUCUUACUUCUUAUGGUAAUUCAUUCAUUUCUCUAAUCUCUUUUUCUUCUCUUGCAUCUUUUUUUUUCUUUAGAAUUUCUUUUCAUCAUAUGAUGUGGCAAAAAUUACCCUGUUUAUAAAUCUUUAUCCUCAAUUUGAUUUGUUAAAUUGUCACUUAAUUUGUUGUGUAAUCGUAAAGAAAUGAUCAAUUUUACAGGAAAAUAGUAAAAUGACCCGGAAAACCAGGAAAAUGUAUUAUUAUUGCCUCUGUUUUUUUUAAUUAAUAAUUAGAUUUCAUAUGAUGGGAGGCCAAAAUGACCCUUUACAAAUCUUUAUCUUCAAUUGGAACUGUUUUACUUCAAAAUUGGAACUAUUAAAUAAGAGUGGGCAUUAGUACAAAAGUUAAAUAUAAUAGUCCGGUCCCUUCUUUAUAAGGUGGAUAUGAUUUCAAGAUCACAUGUAUUUAGAGGGGCGAAACUAGGAACUUUUUUCAAGCUGGUGGUUAGACUAAUUUUUAAGUUAAAGAAAAAAGAAUCUUAAAGUAAAGCUAUUGAAUUAAACCAUAACAAUUAGUUCACAUUUUUAGAUUUUAAAAAUAUUUUGUGAAUUUUGUUUAUUUAAAAAUAAAAGUUAACAAACUUCAAAACUGUGACUACAAUACUCCAUGAGUGCCAUACUUCACAACCUGGCACCGCUAGAUGUAUCUAGAUUAUUGACUUUUAUUUACUUUUUAUUUAUCUAAUGAUGCUUAGUCUACAGAGUACGGUACCCUUAGAAAUCAUAAAUAGACACUUUAAAGAAUUAAAAGAUAAAUGAGUGAUAAAUAUCUUGUUAUAAUUAGUUUACUUGAGAUCAAAAAUAGAUUUUUAAAAUAAGAUGGAGUGGGGAAGAAGUUGGGAAAAAUGACCGUGUCCAAAUUUUAAGAUAGCUUGAGUGAUAAACUUGUAAAUUAUGCUAUGAUGUUUUGUAAAAAAUAACAGUGGUAGCCCAAUUGGGAAUAAAUUAUUCUAUCUUAACCAAGGUUUUCGGUUUGAGAUUUGGGAAUGCAGCUGCGUUAAAUACUUGUUGAAAGAGCUUUACCACCCCAGUGGUUCUAUUGGGCUCGAAUCUGGAUUAGUCAGGAUUCAAUGUGGUCUUCGGAUACCAAAUGAUUUAAUACACAAAAAAAAAAACAAUAGUAGCUAGUUUUAUAAAUUCUACAUGGUAAUUUGUGAACAACAUAGAAAAAAACAAAAAAACUAAAUAAUAAUAAUAAUAAUAAUAAUAAUUUACGUAUCUUGCUUAUUUGGAAGUCAACAUAAAUUGUAUAUUUGGAUGGACUAGAAACUGUGAUUCAGAAAUUCAAGGAGGCACGGUCAAAUUUGGACACCCUAAAGAAGCUGGAAGUGUCCAUUCUCCAUGGGUUGAUGCAACUGAAAUGAAGGAACAUCCUGAAUUUAGCAAGCGGAAGUUUGAUAGAAUAAUUUGAACUUCCCCCAUGCUGGCUUUCAUGGAAAGGAAGAAGACGACAAAGCUAUUCGUGAGCUGCCAGGUAAGUCCAUUGGACAUAUGUGUCAAUAUAGUGAGUUAAAAAUGGUUAUCAUAAGAGGGAACUUCAAGUGAUUCGUAUUUCUUAAUAAUUCAACUAGUUAAGCAUAUACUAAGGAGUUGUUUAUUUCUUAAUAAUUAAUAACCUAUAAUUCGGAAGUACAAUCCACUACAAUCUAUCAAUUGGUUAAUCCCAAACAUGUACUAAGGAGUUGCUUAUUUUUAUCUAAAGCCUGAAUUUUACUUAUUUUCAGACAUUGAUAGUUUUUAAUUUUUUUUUUCUAUUGCUUAUGUCUAAUUAAAAUAUGUUUAGGUGUGAAUAGAAAAAGUUAAAUAUUUUGAUUUUUAUCUGAAUGGUAAAACAUAUGAAUAGAGCUUUAAUAUUCUCUCUUAUUAUUACCCCUUCAAAAAAAUUUAUUUUCUAUUAUACAAAUUAUUCUUUAUUUUUUUAAUUAUGCUUUUUUUGUUAUAUGCCUGUAUUCAACUUUUUUUUUUGUGAGUGAGAAUUUUAACAUAAUAAAGCGUUUAGGUGAGGGUGUUUUAUAAUGGUCAAUCUUUUUGUAUUUAUAUUUACUAUUCUUAAAAUAGAUCUUAUACUGAUUAUUCUCAUUCUCCGUAAUUUAUUGUACCGAAUGUUCUAAAACCUACCUAGCAUUAACGAGUGAAAUAGAAAUUUCGGGAAGCCAAGAAAGUUUGUGUGCACUGAAUGCCUCUACUUUGUAAGUUCAAUUGAUCUCCUCUUAGUUGAAGUAGAUGAUAGUAAAUAGUAUCUGAGUUUCAUUUCAGAUUCCAAAAACAAUCCUCCAUUUGAAUAGUUAAGUAGAGAUCCGCAUUGCUUUCUUUUUCUUUAGAGGAAUGGCUGACUCCUUUGAUCAUGAAACUAUGUCACGGCUAUCACAAAAACCCGAGUAAUUCUAUUCAUAGAACCAAAAUAGAGUUGAGUUGGUGCUCCUUCAUUUUGACUGAUUUAUUAUGAUGCAUAACAACAAAUGAUGAGAUGGUAUCUGAUAUGAUAAUGAGAAUUAGUCGUCAACGAGAAAAUUAAUUUCGCAAGAACACGGUUGGUCGCAGAACUCUCCUAGUCCUUGGAAGUAAUUUAAAGGAAAGGUGCAUCAAUUGCUUUGUGUAGCGUGCUUUAUGGUUAGAGCUUUGUGCUCUUGGUCUUCGGAGUUUACUUAUUCUUGAUUCUAUAGACCUGCAGCCAACAUACAACAGGGUUUGAUUUUCUUUAUUUUUCGCUCUCUUUGGCCCCCUUUUUUUCAUUCCUCGAUGGCUCUUUGGUUAUAAAUUAUGUCCCAAAAGACAAGUCGUCUCUGGUCUUCAGGAAGACAAGUGGAAAUUGUAAAUAGUUUUGAUGACUUUUUUGCAGUGUAGGACCCAAUAAAAAAGUUGAACACGCUUUUGUUGUUUUUCACUUUUAUGAAGGAAUGAGAAUGAUCUGUUUUCAAAAGAAUUUAAGUACGUUGCAAAACGGUGCCAUCAACAAGUUUUUUAUUUUUUAAAAAUUUUUGAAAAAUAAAAGACACCGUGAUUAUGUAGUUUCUCAUUUCUUCCUAAUUUUGGCAGUAAAUAAACAGUAAUAACAAAUAUUGAUUAAGCAAAUUAGUUUUCGGGAAUAUUUGAAGGAGAGAUUACAUAGGAAAUAAAGGUUAGUCCAAUUUUGCAAAAGAUUCUAUGCUCCGUAAAAAGAGAGCAUCUAUAAGGAUGUGGUCAAGUGUUGGCCAUCACGGGUAUUAGAGUAUGCGAAUAGCGUGUGCGGCGAGAACUCUUAGGAAGGCGCUUGGCACCACAGCAAAGCUCCCCUAAUGAAUGCUCUCCAGUCACAAGCACCAGAUUAAGCUCGUCUACAAAUAUCUGGCUGCAAAAAUAAACAAACCAACUUUCGUAAAAUAAAUAUUAAAAUAAACUAGAAAGAGCUCAAUUGCCGACAAAUUCCAGGUUGCUUAGGUCAAAAUAAACAAUGACCAAACACUGUAUGCAAAACCAUCACUCUGCUUUGUAAAUUAGACCUGCUGGUGUCAUAUGGCGGAGGCUGCGGUGAACUUUGCUCUAGAGACCUUGGGUCCUUUGCUUGUCGAAGAAAUCAGAUUGUUUGGAGGUGUUAGAAAAGAAGUUCAAAGCAUCAAAAGCGAAUUGGAAAGUCUCAGAUCUUUCCUGAAAGACGCGGAUACAAGGGCAGCAGUCGAAGAAUUAGAAGGAGGCGGUGAGGAAAGUGUCAGAACUUGGGUGAAACAACUGAGGGAUGAGGCUUAUCGCAUUGAAGAUUUCAUCGAUGAGUACGCACUCAUGGUGGCAAAACUCCCCCAUGAGAGUGGCCUCGUUGGUGUUCUCCAUAGAAUUAGUCGUUUCAUAAAGAAGCUGAGGCGGCGGCGUGGAGUUGCUACUGAGAUUCAAGAUAGCGAAUCAGCGCUUGCUGAUAUAAAGCGAAGGGGAGAAAGCUAUCGAUUCAGAUCUAUUGAUGAACCAUCGAGAAGUGGAACCAGAAAUGUUAUCCCACAUGACUCUCCAGUUCGUUCCUUUUUCGUUGAAGAUGAUGAAGUUGUGGGCAUCGAAUCCAUUAAAGAUAAAUUGAUUGAUUUGAUGGUGAACGGAAGAUCCAAAAGUUCAGUGGUUGCUGUGGUGGGUGAAGGAGGACUAGGCAAGACCACUCUUGCCGGGAAACUUUUUAACAAUGAAGGUUUAAAAACUCACUUCAGUUGCCGAGCUUGGGUUACCGUUGGGAAAGAAUACAACAAAAAUGAUUUGUUGAGGACAAUUAUAAAGGAGUUUCACCGUUUAUCAAAACAUGGAAGAGAUGGACCUGAUCGCCACGCUGAGGGACCACUUGAAGGACAAAAGUUACAUGGUUGUGCUCGACGAUGUUUGGAAGAUUGAUUUUUGGAGAGACGUGGAGCAUGCUUUACUUGAUAACAAGAAGUGCAGCAGGAUAAUUGUCACAACUCGGCACAUGAAUGUCGCUAAGUUUUGCAAAUCAUCUUCCUCUGUUCGUAUCCAUGAGCUUGAAACUUUGCCUCCGGAUGAAGCGUGGAAACUUUUUUGUAGAAAGGCGUUCGGACCAAGCUCCGGAGGUUGUUGUCCUUCAGAGUUGAAGGAGUUCUUUAUCGUGGCCCUAGGUGGACUUCUUUCAACCAAGAACAGGAUUGUAUCUGAAUGGAAGAAAUUAUUUGAUAGGUUGGGCUCAAUGUUAUGAAGUGAUCCCCAUCUAAAAGAUUGCAACAGAGUUUUAUCUGAAGGGUAUUAUGAUCUUCCUCACCACCUCAAAUCAUGUCUUCUGUACUUUGGCUUAUUUCCAGAGAGCUGCAAAAUUAACCGUGGUAGACUUAUCCGUUUGUGGAUAGCUGAGGGCUUUGUCCAAUACAGAAAACGCCUCACAUCUGAACAGGUUGCAGCCGAAUACUUGGAUGAGCUCAUUGACAGAAGCUUGGUUCAAGUUUCAAACAGAGAGAUCCCUGGACGAGCUAUAAUCUGCCAAGUUCAUGAUCUUAUGCACGAGAUCAUCAUCAGAAAAACUGAAGAAUUGGGCUUCGGUCGUCUGCUGAACGGAGAGGACUCGAGUCAUUGCAGUAAAACUCGACGCAUUACUAUACAGAGAAGUAUUGAUGAUGGUGCUUUAGAGAGCAUCAAGGACUGGAAGGUCCGUUCUGUUAUCCUUUUCAAUGUAGAUAAGCUGCCCGACUCUUUCAUGAAAUCAUGUAUUGCCAAUUUCAAGCUCAUGAAAGUACUAGAUCUGGAAGAUUCUCCUAUAAAUUACCUUCCUGAAGGAGUGGGAAACUUAUUCAAUUUACACCUCUUGAAUGCGAGAAACACAAAAUUAAAAAUAAUUCCCAAGUCCAUUGGAAAUCUUCUCAGUUUAGAGAUUUUGGUUUUGGCACGCACUUUCGUGAGUGAACUUCCAGAAGAGAUCAGGAAUCUUAAAAAGUUGCGUUCUCUAAUUGUUUUUCACUACAAGUAUAUCACAGGUUCUAUAAUACCAACAGAAGUAGCAGCCAAAAUACACCGGGGCUUUGGGUCUCUAAGAGGUCUGCUGGUGUUGUCUACUAUAGAAGCUGACUCUCAAGUGCUCAAAGAGCUUAUGAUGCUAAGGCAGUUAAGAAUGUUGAGCAUUAGACCCCAGAAUGGAAAUGGCAGGGAUCUCUGUGCUUUGAUUGCAAAUUUGGAAAACGUAGAGACUUUAGGAGUACUAAUGACAAGCAAAGAAGAAAUUCUUGACUUGCAAUCUUUGAGUAGUCCUCCUCAACAUCUGCGGUAUCUCAGCUUGAGAGGGAAUAUGAAGAAACUGCCGGAUUGGAUUUUAAAACUUAAAAAUCUAAUCGGAUUGCGUUUGAUCUUGUCGGGAUUGACUGAGGAUCCAAUCAGUAUCCUUCAAGCCUUGCCUAACUUAUUGGAACUUAUGCUCCAUGGGGGGUAUGACUACGAGCUUUUUCACUUUGAAGCAGGUUGGUUUCCAAAACUCCGAAAGUUGGUUCUUUUGAACUUCGAGGCUGUGAAAUUGGUUAUAAUAGAGAAAGGUGCGAUGCCUGAUAUUAGAGAACUGUGGAGUGGGCCUUGCCCCCUGUUGAUGGAGAUUCCUAUUGGAAUUGAGCAUCUUAGAAACCUUGAGCUAUUUACAUUUCAUGAUAUGUCUAAACAAGUUUGUUGCAUGACAAAGAACGAGAAGUGGGAGGUUACUGAGCAUAUACCAGAUGUCCGUGUCACUUAUAUUGAUGCGGGGCAACUGUUUUAUUGUCCAAAAAAAGUUCUUUCAUCUCUUUCCUGUAGAUUUCGAGCAAUCUGCUAACGAAGAGGACUCAAGUAAGGAGCAGUCAUGCACAUCUAUAAAAUAACUAAACAGGUGUGCCUAUUUGUAUUAUUUUCUAAUUACUUUAAAAAAAAUUAUUUUCUUUUUUUUCUUUUUAAUUUGACAGACAAUAUAAUCAUAUAUAAUUCAAGAAAAUUCACCCAAAAAAAACUCCUUUUUCCAUGUAAUUUGAGUAUGAUAAGUAAAUAAAUAAUUGCAGUAGGUCAGUAAAUCUUUUUCUAGUCAAGUCUAUUGUUAAUUAGAAUCAUAAUAAUUAGGUAUUAAUGUUUUUAUAGUAAUUUUCCUUAUAUUUUUUGUUACCAUGAACAGUAUAUAUACCUUCCUUACAGUGAAUACAUUGAUGAGUUCAUCGGUCAUAUACUGGAUCAGACUGUGGUAGUAAUGCUACUAUUGACAUGCUUUGAGUUUGAGUAAUUAUUAUCAGUGUUAUUAUGUAACGCAUGCUUAUGUGAGUGGUUGCGGUUGCUGCUGUCAAUGUAAAUGUAUUCUUUUAUAUAUCUAAGACUAAGACUAUAAUUUUAAAAAUGUAAAUGUAUGCUUAUGUGAGUGGUUAAUUUGUGUGGGAUGAUGCAUUUGCCUUAAUUUUAAUCUGUAGCUUAUUGUCUGCUUCAUAACAACUUACUAAAAAAUUGUAUCACAUGCAUUACCGUAUUAUCAAGCUUAAUUUCCUCUUCAUUUGCAUAAUUGUGCUUAUUAUAUUGGGAUUAUUCUACAAUAGUUAUUUAUUUUAUUUAAGAAGUGAACUGAAAAUGCAUGUGAAAUCGUUUUUUUACAAAAUUAGAUGCACGUUUUGGAUUGUGGUUAAUUAUAAUUUUCAAACAAUCGCUUAUUUUAAAAAAAAAAUGUACUCAAUUAUAUUUGAGUUGUCAAAUUAUUUUAAUUAAACAUAUAUAACCAAUUUGGGUUGUCUUUUUUAACUCAAUACACUAACAGUCAUCAAACAAUUGAUUAUCAAACAUAAUAUGAGAAUAAAAUCCAUCACCAUUGCAGACUUAUUGUAACACAAAGAAAGUCUAUAAUUGGGCUUUGGAUUGGGCAAUAAAAACCCACUAAGCGAUAGCAUUCUUCUAUUCCUAGGGAAAGUGAAAAAAGCGGGAGUUGUAAGUGUUAAAUGGAAAUGGAUACAUGCCGAACUUACAAUUAAAUAAAAGAGAAAUUUUUAUAUAAAAGAAAGCGUCGGUGACUCUAAAGUUAGUCGGUGACUCUAAAGUUACAAUCAAAUGAAUGCGAAAUUUCAUAAAAAAGAAAAAAAAAAGUGUAGGUGAUUCUAAAGUUGAAAACUGCACAUGUUUGUGAUUCAAUUAGCUUUUUUGCUCUUAAAAUUACUUUAAAUUGCUCAAGAAAUGGUCAUGGGAAGGCUUACUCAUUAUAAUCCAUAAAUUGAUUAAACUGAUUAAGGAAGCAUGAACCAGCAAUUAGAUCAAAGUGUUGAAUAGUUCUUGCGUGAAAUAAAGAGAAAGAUUGCUAGAAAUUACAUUUUAUUUAUUUUUUGGUGUCACGGGUAGAUGAAAGCCACAAACAAUGUUAAGUCCCUUCACUGUAAAAGCAUUUUCCUGCACCUUUUUCUUCGGCUUUAUGAUAUUCAAUGCCCAUAGUCCCUAGUCCCUACCCCUGUAUCUUUAUUAAUUAUUGGUUAAGAAGCUUGCGGCCUUAAAUGAUCAGAUAUAUUUAUUUUUUUGUCUGUGUUAUAAGAAAUCUUAUUUUCCAUUAUCACAGUUUCGUAUUAAGUAUCACAAUGGUUUAUUGUCCGACUUAAAACAUGAUUAUUAAUAUAGAUUUAAGAAUAAAGAUUAGAGUUAAGGCAACCUAUAUAAGAAAUAAAAUAAAGAAAUCAUUUAAAGAAAUUGUAACCGCUGCUCAUCAAUAAAAACCCAUUUCGGCUGGAAGAAUUUCCGUAGAAAUACAGAUGGUAUUUUAUUUGAAGUAGAAAUGUAAACUUUUUUUUUUAAUGAAAAUUGGAAAAGUAAACUUAAUUAAGGAAACUAAUAAAUAAGGAAACACAAAUCCUCAAAUAAAUAAAUAAGGAAACACAAAGGACCAUAUAUACAUAGGCCGGCCCGGGCCCUUUGACAUGACAACUGACGACCCUCCAAUAAUUUCAAUUUUUAGUAUCGUUCCCAAAACACCCUUCCAAACUUUUCCUGCAUUAAAAGUCAUGAAGAUAAUUUAUUAAUUUAAUCAAACAGUAAAGGUAAUUAUGUCAUUGUAUAUUUGUGGGUCAAGUCCAUCUUGAUCAUCUCCCAUCCAAACGUACAACAAACAUUUCACUAUUUCAGUACCUUAAUCUCACAGUCAAGUGCUCAACUCUCUCUGUAUUAAACACACCGACCCUUGAAUCUCGAUGGCAAAAGUAGUAGUGGGUAUGGCUGCUAAAGGAGAACAGAAAAAAGAAAUGAGUUUUACAGAAAAAGAUGAAAAAGAAGAAGAGAAAUGGAUCAUGCAUUAUUCAUCAAAGCAUCAAAUACUGUUGGUGGGUGAAGGAGAUUUCUCGUUUUCUUUUGCUUUAUUGCAGAAAUUUGGCUCUGCUUCUAACAUCUGCGCUUCUUCUCUUGAUUCCUAUGGUAAUUCAUUCAUUUCUCUAAUCUCUUUCUCUUCUCCUACAUGUUUUUUUUUUCAAGAUUUUUUUAUAUCAUAUGAUAUAGCAUAAAUUACCCUGUUUAUAAAUCUUUAUCCUCAGUUUGAUGUGUUAAGUUACCACUUAAUUUGAUGUGUAACUGUAAAGAAAUUAUCAAUUUUACAGAAAAAUGGUAAAAUGACUAGGAAAACGUAUAAUUAACGUCUCUGUUUUUUUUUUUAAUUGGAUUUCAUAUGAUGUGAGGCCAAAAUCACCCUGUUUAUAAAUCUUUGUCUUCAAUUUGAAGUGUUUUGACCUCAAAACUGGAACUAUUAAAUAAGAGUCAACAUUAGCACAAAAGUUAAAUGUAACUGUCCGGUCCCUUCUUUAUAAGGUGGAUAACUGAAUAUGAUAUGAAUUAAGAGGCGAAGUUAGGAAUUUUUUUUAAGCUGGGUUACAUCUUUUUUUUUUCAAGUUAAAGAUAAAAUAAAGAACCUUACGGUGAAGCUAUUAAAUUAAACCAUAAAAUUAAAUUAAUAUUGUUUGUGUUAAAAAUUUUUUUGUGAAUUAAGUUUGUUUAACAAUAAAAAUUGUCAACUUUAAAGCGGUGACUACAGUACGCUACGGCUACCAUACUUCACAACCUGCCACAGUUACAUGGUUCUUGUUUAUUGACUUUUAAUUAUCAGAUGAUGCUUAGUCUAUGAAUUACGGUACCCUUAGACAUCAUAGACAGACCCCCACUUUACAUAAUUGAAGGCUAAAUGAGUGAUAAAUAUCUUGUCAUCACUGGUUUACUUGAGACCGAAAAUAGAUUUCUAAAAUAAGAUUGAGUGGGAAAGAAGUUGGAACAAAUGACAGUAGCCAUAUAUAUAUAUAUAUAUUUUUAAAAAGAGUGAUAAACAUGUAAAUAAUACUGCGGUCGUUUUGUAUAAUAUAACAGUGAUAGCUAGCUUCAUAAAUACUGCAUGGUAAUUUUAUGAACAACGUAAUAAAGAAACUAGAAAUUUUGCCAAAUUUUGGCCGCGCUAUAGCCUAGCUUCGCCCUUGCAUGAAUUCAAUUCGAUAGUUUGAUGCAACUGAAAAAAUAACUUAACCUUAAAGAAAUUAUCAAUCUUACAGAAAAAUUGUAAAAUGACCCGGAAAAUUAUCAUCAUCACCAUCAUCAUCAUCAUCAUCAUCAUUAUUAUUAUUAUUAUUAUUACUAUUUGGUUGACGUAUCUUGCUUAUUUGGAAGUUAACAUAAAUUAUAUAUUUGGAUGGACUAGAAACUGUGGUUAAGAAAUUCAAGGAGGCACGGUCAAAUUUGGACACCCUAAAGAAGCUGGGAGCAUCCAUUAUCCAUGGAGUUGAUGCAACUGAAAUGAAGGAACAUUCUGAAUUGAGCAAGCGGAAGUUUGAUAGAAUAAUCUUCAACUUCCCCCAUGCUGGCUUUCAUGGAAAGGAAGAAGACGACGAAGUUAUUCGGUGAGCUGCUUUAACCUAGUGAGUCCAAUGGACACGUGUCAGUACAGCGAGUGAAAAAUGGUUAUAUUCCGAGGGAAAUUGAUAUUUAAAGUGAUCCAUAUUUCUUAAUAAUUCAACAUGCAUGUAGUAAUCAAGAGCUUGCUGUGAUAUUUCCGCUUCGCCAAUUCUUAAAAAUUUGGCUCCUACAUCUGUUCCAUGAUCUUUCUUCUGGUAAUCGCAGAAUGCAUAUGAGCCUUGUGGAAGGUUUCUUCAGAAAUGCAAGUGGUAUGCUAAGGCCUCAUGGUGAAGUGCAUGUAAGCCACAAGACAACAGCUCCAUUUUGCAAAUGGCAUAUCGAGGAACUCGCUAGGAAACACUCUUUGUUAAGACUCGACUGUGUCCAGUUUAGAAAAGAAGACUACCCAGGUUACAGUAACAAGAAAGGAGCUGGUUCACUGUGCGAUGACUAUUUCCCCUUGGGAAAGUGCAGUACCUUCAAAUUUGGUUUAUAUCGUGCUCGCAAGAGGUCUAAAGUAAUGAGUGAUGGUGGAUUUAUUGUCAAAAGAACUAAGGCUGUUGAAGAGAUUCCGAUCCGAGUGCAGAAGCGUGAAACCGAUCCAUUUGACUGGAGAUGUACUAAUGCAAAGUCAGCCACUGAUAUGAAUGAAUUUCGAGCCUGUGUGAAGUUUGAUGGUAGCGGUGCCGGUUACCCUGUUCGUGAAUAUCCUAGGUUUGACAGUCUCGUACAUCCUCAAACAAGCUUCACCAGAAAUGCGAUUGACCAUCCAGGAUAUAAGAGACUAGCUUUGAUGGGUAAUUCUAGGUUCCAUAAUGGCUGCUUUAAUAGUUCCCACACGACGCUUGGAAGAGCUGUUGACGAUGUGGGCUAUCUUGUUCCCGAAUCAUUAAUUCCAUAUGAAAGAUAUUACGCGGAAGUAGCAGGAUUCCAAAGAGAAAGUGGUAGGAGCUACGAUAAAACAGUGCCUCGAGGAAGAACCUUGUAUCCUGUGGAUGGACGUUGCUAUCAGGAAACUAUGAAACCAGCGCAGCCGUCAUGGAUGAGAUUGGGAUUUAUUUACCAGCUUUAAAGGAGAAGUGGUGCUAUUAUGCUUUUAUGGAAGACUGAACGACCUUUUGUCUUUAGUCGUGAAUUCUAGCUAGUUAAGCAUAUAUAGGUAUCAUAGUGCAAGUAGAAAGCUUUGAUUUGCUUUCACUUUGGUUUGUUUUAAGAACUAAGACUUUCAGUAAUCUGUUGGUGUGUUGUGUGGUGUUGUCAAUCUCCUAUUUGCAAAGCACUCGAUCUGUUUCCUGUUUAAAGAACUAUAAUUAGCUUUAAUAGCAUCGAUGAACUCAUCAACGUACGUAUUCACAGCAAGGAAGAUACUCCUCCAUCUAUUUGUGGUAAUUACUAUGAAGACGGAGUAUAAUCAGUCAACAAUGCUACAAGUUUAUAUGCUUUCAGUAAUUAUUAUCAGCGUUAUUAUGUAAUAUAUGCUUACGUAAGUGGUUGCUGCUGUGAGUUAGCGUAAUCUUUUAUAGAAUCUAUUAUAGUUUUUAUCUAAGAUUUUAAUUUUAGAAUUGUUAUAGGACUGUUGUCAUCAUAUUGUAUAAUCAGUGUUUAAUUGAAAAAAAAAAAAAAAAAAACUGUGCGCCAAUUUGAUCACCACUGCUAUACGGUUAAUUUGUAUGUAGGAUGAUGCAAUUUUUGCCUUAAUGGGCUUUCAAAUUUUUUAAUCAAACAUAUAUAGUUGAUUAGAGUUGUCCUUAAUUUUAGAUUCAACACACUAGCAACCAUCAAGCAAUUGAUUCUCACAUAUAAUUUAGAAAUAGAACCCAUCGCAAUCUGUCAAUCGGUCAAUUUCAUACAUUCACCAAGUCUUGUAAAUAAAUCAAAAUGCAUAAAACUAUGUGAUUUUGAAGGGUUCACUUCAUCACCCCUUCUUAUAAAACCUCAUUUCAAAUAAAAUUACAUUGAAAUAAGAAUUAAAUAUAUUUGAGAAUUUUUUCAGUAAAUUACUUGCAUUAGUAAUUAAUCCUUUUUUUUUUGUUUUCUACCCCUCACUUCCAUCUAAUCAAAAUUAAUUAUAAAAAAUUAGAAUAAACUAUUUUUCUUAUUUCAAAUUAUAACUGACUUUCAAAAGUUCAUUAGUCAAAAAACUUUUCAAUGUGCUGUGUGGGACAACAAGAUUACAAAAGAAAAAAAAAGAAUUAAAAUAAAAAUAAAUGAAAAAAAAAAAAGAUUUUAUAAAGUGAUUAGAGGGUCGCCAAUACUCCCAACUCGUGGAAAAAGUUUAUUCAGUUGUGUGUGGGCGUAAAUGUAAAUGGGCUUGCAAAUAAAAAGUCUUAUGAGUGGGCUUUGGGUGUAGGCAAUUAAAACUUGCUAAGCCACGGUAUUUUUCUUCACUUCCAUUCUUAGAUGUUGGAAAACAGUUGCCAUCGUUUCUCACUAGAAUUGGUCUAGUUACUUUCUCUUCUGUACUCUCUUGUUAAUUUUCAAUAAUGAUUUGUCCUGUCAUGAAUUUUUUUCUUGUCGCAUACUGAAGAUAAGUUUUUUUUUUUUUUUGCUAAGUUUUGUGCACCUAUCAUCACUGAUAGUUUUCUUUGAUACUUGGCUUUUUUUCUUUUUCUUUUUUCAUUUGAAUGUCUCCUGACGAAAUGUUGCUGAGAAUUUGUAUAAUUACUGAAUUAACCUACUUUAUAUAUGCUGAAUACAUAAAAUUAAAAAGACUCAACAAUAGAGUUCUGAAGGAAUCAUUUAUAUUUUAUGCAUCGCAUAUUUCUUUAUCUUUUGUCGUUUCUCGAUUGCAUGCUUGCCAUUUCGUAGUAGAAUAUAAAUGACUUUAAUAAAUUGGAAAAAAGCAAAAAAAAAAAAAAGCUGAUGAAGAAAAAAGAAAGAAAAUAAACAAGAACGUGUUCCAAAAACGAUGUAAAAAGAUGUAUUCGGGGAUUAAUAUUUGGGCGCCACAAUUGCAAGAAAGACAGGUCCUAAUCAACGUGACUUGAACAGUUUUAUUUUAUAUUUUUACUUUUUUAUUUUUGAUGCUUUAAAGCGGUGGGGACUGGGGAACAUAUUCUUCGCGGUGCGGAUGGUGACGCGAAGAAUAUAAAAUUUUCUAAAGAGAAUAUUUUUAUUUUUUUAAAAGUGAGAAUACUACUAAAAUAAAAAAUAUAAAUUUUAAUUUAUUAAAAUUUAUUUAUUUUUGUUUGUUAAUAUAUUAGAAUUUGUAUUUAUGUAUGUAUGUAUGUAUGUAUGUGUGUGUAUUCCUUAAGCUAAUUCUUCGUAAAGUUUGCUAGGCAUCUAAUCAUAAAAAAAAAAAAAAAUCUGAUAUUUAAACACGUCUUAGUUAUUUAUUAGUGCCACGUUAGUUUGAAUUCUAAGGAUCGAGUUUUGUAGCAUAUAAUCUCCAUUCCACCGUCUUUUUUUAUUUUAUUUUAUAUUAAUCACGAGGUAUCCAUUCCACUGUCUUUGAUAAUUCACUUUCUUAACCAUUUUAGAAAUGUGACCCUUGCUCUUGCUCAAUUAUUACUACGUCUAAAUAUGGCCACAAGAUUAGAGUUUGCACAUUUGUUCUUUUUCCAUAAACACACGGUUUCCUCACUUCCAAAUGGACUUCUCUUAAGUUGCAUUAUUAUUAUUUGCACUCUUCUCAAUAUAUAAAACUCAUGAAAUUUUUUAAUGAAGUUUUUCUAAUCAUCACAGUAUUAAUCUUUUUAACUCUCAUUAUUUGUAAUUUCUUUCCCACACAAGAUAUCCUGCAAUUGCAAAUAAUGAGAGGUACUGCCGAGUUUUUUUUAAAAAAAGUCCACAGUUAAAAUAAAAGACAUGAUCCAUUAUGAAAAAUAAAGUAUUCGAUCUAAAACUCACAACAGAAAAAUAACAACAAUGCUAGCUUGCUCAGGGAAACUUGCCUGAAAUUGCCGGACCGGCCAAUCUUCUAAUUUCUAAACCACCGUUUUGACUGGGUGGAAUGUUGAAUAAUAGGCACUGCAACCAGCGUAAUGCACACAAUUUUUUGAAACUAAUCAAAUUUGAUCAAUGACUUAAUUCCAAUGAAAUAAAAUGUAACUGUUGAGAACUUGAAUGAUAUCUUUUGAAAUUCUUGUCUAGCUUUUUAGAUAGAAUCAUCAGGGAAUCAAGUGAAACAAAUCCUCUUGUAGGGCUAGAUUAUUCUUUCAAGUUUCAUCAUGGCUGCUAGCUCUAAGAAUCCACUUUAUUGAAGACGUUGGAAAAGAGGUUCACUGCCGAUAGCUUCCUUAGUAAAACUAAAUCUCUUUCAAACUAUCAGACAUACUACUAGUUCUACAUCAAUGGAGUAAACGAGAAAAAUCUGAGAUAUGGCGGAGACUGUGGUGAAUUUUGUCAUUGAAAAGCUGGGUCCUUUGCUUGCUCAAGAAAUGGUGUUUUUGAGCGGUGUAAGGGAAGAAAUUCGAGACAUCAAGCUUGAAUUGGAGCAUGAGAUCUUUUCUAAAAGAUGCGGAUGCAAGAGCCGCACUAGAAGAUUUUGAAGAAAGAGAGAGUCAAUUGGUAUCAAAACUUGGGUGAAACAAGUGAGGAAAGAAGCCUAAUGUUGAUGCAGAAUCUGGUCGAAAUCGUUAGCAUGGGCAGGUCACCAUGUCAACACUUGAAUUUGUUUUGAUGGGAGACGGUACUGUUUGCACUUCCUUCCUCCAAACAGAUCCUUACGCCCACAUUCACUUCCCUCAGGAUUCUCCAACAUUUCUGGAUUCUCCGACGUUCACAGAAACAAUUAAGGGGUGCUGGAUGUUUUUCUGACAUAAACCCUCCGAUACGUGGGUACUCAGGUCUCUCUGGGAAAAACUUGUGCCACAACUUCCAUGGCUUAAUUAAAACUGAAGCCAGAACAAAUAUUUUAAAUUUUUAAUGAUUCUCAAAAAGAGAUAAAUUCUAAAAAACAGAUUCUAGAGUUAGAGAGGCAGAAUUUUGUUUCAGAGAGGGCAAAACAACUUACCUCUUUGGGAUUUUACAGGCCUUUUAUAACCCUGUUGCACUAUCGUGGGUACACAAUCAUUGACCAGUCCCUUGCAUCACCGUUCAUGGGUUGGUUAAGUAAUUGUUAAGGGAUAAUGGAUGAAUGUGCGAGGUAGUUGAUGAAUUGAUGGUGCAACCGUUAAUGGAGUGGUAUUAUAAUUGUUGAUAUCGAAAUCUGGUUGAGUUGAUGAUGGCAACUAGAUUACUUCGUCAACACUUGAAUUUGUUUUGAUGGCGAACUAUCGCUUGCUACUCCAGUAGAGUUUGAAUUGCUAUGAUGCUUUUUGCUUUCUUUUAUUUGCAAUAACAGAAAACUGUCAGGGGGCGCCCGAUCUUUCUCGGCGAAAAUCCUCCAACGCUCAAGUUAGCAAUAAAGUUUUCUUGCAAGAAAAAUAAUAAUGUCACACACUUGUGAUCUUAAGUACUUUCUUUUCAAACUUCUUAUUCCCUAGAAAAAAAAAAUCUCCCUUUCAGGAUCUUUCCCAAUUCUUAUAGACAACUGCAAGCAUCUCUUGUUCUUCAAUGCAUGACUGUUACCAAAUUGAAUGUGCCACUUGAAUUAAGAGUUAAUGUAUCCGUUUCUGUAUAGUUAUUGAGCUAUCGUUAUAAUGUCUGAUGUUGCUUUAAACAUUAUAGCAGGACAUGCUUAGACGUUACGGACGAACUACCAGGUUAAGUUCUACAAUCUGAAAAUUAAACCAAGACCAUAAAAUCGAACGACAUGAUUAUGGUCUCCUCGUAGACUGCUGGUUGUCCUUGCAUAUGUAACCAGAUAACUUUCUCCUCGAUGUUUCACAUCACCCUUACGACUUUUAUAUUAAGUGGCUAUAUUUGUAUACCCCAAACAAUAACUAUUAGUGAAUUGACUUUGUGCUCAGAUUCUGGGGGGGAGGGGGGGGGGGGGGGGGGGGGGAGGGGGAGGAGACUCGCUGGUUGGUCUUUGAUCAGCUCUUGAGAUUACCUGAUUUCAUAGUACAAGUAGAAAGCGUUGAUUAGCUUCCACUUUUGUUUCUUUUAAGAAUUAAGAAUUUUUUUAUUGAGAGGUAGUGGGACCAAUGUGUUGUUUUUGAGAAUGGCAAAAGUAAGUAUAGGUGGCUCUAAAGUUGGGACUUACAGAUGUUUGUGUUUGAAUUAGUCCCUUUUUUUUUUUUUUUUGAAAUUGAAGCAAUGGUCUUGGAGGCUCACUCAUUGUAAUUGAUAUGUUAAACUGAUUAAGGAAGCGUGGAGCAGAAAGUAGACCAAAGUGUUGAAUAGUUCUUUAAAAGAGAAAUAUUGCUAGAAAUUUCAAUUUUAUUUAUUUAUUUAUUAUGUCAUGGUUUUAUUUAUUCAUAAAAUUGAAAGCCACGAUGUUGAGUCUCUUUACAGUAAAAGCCAUUUUCACAUUUAGACUUCUUUUCCUUUAGUUUUAUGAGAUUCAAUGCCCCCUUCACAGUAAAAGAAACUUGUGGCCCUAAAUGAUCGUUAGAAUUUGAGAAUAUAUAUAUAUAUAUAUAUAUAUAUAUAUUUCAUGUUACUGAGAUUUUUUUUUUAAUUUCCAUUCUAAAUUAACCAUUAAAAAGAAAUUAAUUUAAGAAAAACCCAUUAAAAAGAAAUUGUAACCGUUGCUCCAUUGUAAAAAUUACGUUCAACAUUUCAAGAAAACAAUCUUAGUUGGAAGAAAUUCCGGAAAAUAUAGAUGGGUUUUUGAAUUUGAAAUUUAAACUCAAUUAAGGAAACUAGUAAAUAAAAGGAAACACAAAACCAUAUUUGGCCGUGGACCUGACAACAUAUCCCUCCGAUAAUAUCAAUCUUUUUACCAUUCUUCCUAAAACACCCUUCCAAACUUCUCAAACUACAGAAGACAGAUCACAGACGGUAAUUACAUCAAGGCUAAUUAUGUCAUUUUAAAUUCCUGGCUCAAAUCUGGUGGAGUAUUGUCCUCAUCAUGAUCGUUUGCCAUGCAAACGUAUAACAAACUCUUCGGCAAUCUCACUACGACUAUGGCAAUACUGGCUGAAGCUGCUGAAAAAGAAGAGGAAAAAUAAAUGGGUUUGACUGGGAAAAAAAGAAGAAGAAGAAGAAGAGAAAUGGAUAAUGUACUAUUCAUCAAAACAUAAAAUACUGUUAGCGGGCGAAGGAGAUUUCUCUUUUUCUCUUGCUUUAUUUCAGAAAUUUAGCUCUGCUUCUCACAUCUGCGCUUCUUCUCUUGAUUCUUAUGGUACGGUAAUAUAAUCAAUUUUACGGAAAAAGAAAAAUAGAAAAUUGUAAAAUUAGGAAAAUUAUUAAAGUAUUAUUAUCUGUUGUGACGUCUGGUUUAUUUGGAAGUUAAUAUAAACCAUCUUUGGAUGGAUUAGAAACUGUCACUCAGAAAUUCAAGAAGGCAGAGUCAAACUUGGACACUCUAAAUUAAGAAGCUGGGAGCAUCCCUUAUCCAUGGAGUUGAUGCAACUGAAAUGAGGCGUCAUCCUGAAUUGAGAGAGCGGAUCGUUGAUAGAAUUAUCUUCAAAUUCCCCCAUGCUGGCUUUUCUGGGAAGGAAGACAACAAUCAACUUAUUCGAUGAGCUGCUUUAAAAAACAGUUCCUUGUAGAAAUUUUGUGUUUCUUCUGUAUUGCUUACUAAUCUGAAACUUUCAUUUCUUUUGCAAUGAUCCAGCUAUUCACUGUCAUCGUUUGAUGUUAAUACGGGGAUUAGCAACUCAUGCUUUUGAAGAUUUCAUGGAUAGGAUUGAAACUUAAUUGAAAAUCAUAGUUUCCAAAGGGGAAUUGCUAAAUUGCUGAUGAAGAAAUUAUAGUCUGGUUUAGAUUUAGAUACAAGUUGAAAGCGAAAACCCAGCUUUGAUUUUAAGGGAUCUGGGAUUUGGAUGACUCUUGCAUAUAUAGGAUAUUUUUGUAAUGUUUGCUUUCAAUGGUUGAUUACUUGUUAGUGAGGAAUUUCAGAGUGACAAAAAAUGCAGAGUCAUGUGGAAACGUGGGUGAUACACUACAGUGACAUGAAAAUGGUUAAAAAAAAAGAGUGAACUUGCUUAAUAAAGUGAUCCGUUUUGCUUAAAAAUUCAAAACAUUGUAGUCUAGAGUUCCCUAUGAUAUUUUAAAAAUCACUAAUUCUGAAAAUGCUGGCUCGUAUACCUGUUCGAUGAUCUUUCUUCUGGUAAUCGCAGAAUGCAUAUGAGUCUUGUGGAAGGUUUCUUGAAAUGCAAGUGGCAUGCUGAGGCGUAGUUGUGAAGUUCAUGUGACCCACAAAACAACUGCUCCAUUUCGCGACUGGAAUAUCGAGGAACUUGCUCCCAAACACUGUUUGUCAUCAAUGUACCCUGUCAACCUUAAAAAAGAAGACUACCCUGGUUACAACAACAAGAGAGGAGCUGGUUUGAAAUGUGAUGAGCCCUUCCCCUUGGGAGAGUGCAGUACCUUCAUAUUUGGAUUCUAUCGUGCUCGCAGGAGAGUAAUGAGUUAUGGUGGAUUCGCUAACAAAAGACAUCAGCCGCUUCAAGAGAUUCCAAUCCAAGUGCAGAAGGAUGGAACUCCAUUUGACUCGAGAUAUGCUAAUGCAAAGUCAGCCACUGGUAUGAAUGAAUUUCCAGCCUGUUCGAAGUUUGAUGGCAGCGGCAUGGGUUACUCUGUUCGUGAAUAUCCUAGGUUUGACAGUUUCAUACAUCCUCAAACAAGUUUCACUAGAAAUAUGACUGACCAUCCAGCAUAUAAGAGACUAGCUUUGAUGAGUAAUAUACAAAGAGAAAAUGCUAGGUCCCAUAAUGGCCGCUUCAAUAGUUCCAUAAUUCUGUGUGAAAGGUAUAUCGCAGAAGUACCAGGAUUCCAAACAGAAAAUGCGAGGAGUUUGUAUCCUAUGGAUGGAAGUAAUUUAAAUGAAAGUUGCACCAAUUUGUUUGUAUAGCAUACUGUAUGGCUAGAGAGUUUCAUGGUCUUGGUCUUCGCAGUUUUCUUAUUUGUAUGGUUUGGUUUUCUUUAUUUUUUGCCGACAAAUAAACAAAUCAACUUGCAAUAAAAUAAAUAUUAAAAUACACGGAAAAAGCUCAAAUGCCGACAAAUUCCAGGUUGUUAAGUUCAAAAUUAAUUCUAGGGAGCCCUAUGUUACAAUUAAUGUAACAUACACACUCAACAACAACCACACAAAUGAUGGGCUCCCAUUAUUUGUGUGGUUGUUGUUGAGUGUGUAUGUUACAUUAAUUGUAACAUAGCAUUUGCCUUAAUUCUAUAGUAAGGUGGCGUUUGUUUUUUAACUUAAUGACUUAAAGUGACUUAACUUAAUUAAUUAAGUUAAUUAGAGGUGUUUGUUUUUAUAACUUAAUGAGACUUUUUAGAUAAUUUUGACUUAAUAAAAUAAGCUAAUUUUUUUAACUUUUUACUUAAUGGAGAAAUCUGAAUUAAGACAAUUACUUGCUAAUGUCAAAAAUAUCCAUGUUUUAUAAUUUAUUUUUCAUGUCUAUCCUAAAACUCACCUAUAGAUAUUUACCCCACAUAAAAAUAUCUAUGUUUUUUCUUUCUUAUAUUAUAUAUGAUAAAAUUUGAAAUUUAUGGUAUUUUUAUAUUAAAAUUCUAAAAUAAUUAUGUAUUCAUUUGAAUAUAGUUUUACUUAUAAAUGUUAAAAUAUUGUGGUAUUUAAUAUAUUAUUUAUUUGACAUUCAAAUUUAAUAAGGAUACAAAUGUAAAAGUACAUAUUUUCAGCUUUUUAAGUUGAAAAAAAAACAACUUAAUACUUAUUUUUCGAGAUUCAGACGAAAAAACAAACAUAUUAUUCAGAUUCAGACAUUCAGACCUAUUCAGAAUUCAGACUAAUUCAAGUCUAUUCAGAUUUCAGACAAAAAAACAAACGCCACCUAAGUAUGAAGAAUAAAAUAAAAGCAAUCAACUUGCAAAUUGAAAAUUCUGCAUUCCUAAACCAAUGUCCAAACAGGGGUAAACAUGUCGGCAAACAUAAACAAUGAUCAAACACUGUUUGCAAAAGCAUCAAUCUGCUUUGUAAAUUAGACCUGCUGGUGUGAUAUGGCGGAGGCUGCGGUGAACUUUGCUCUAGAGACCUUGGGUCCUUUGCUUGUCGAAGAAAUCAAAUUGUGGGGAGGUGUUAGAAAAGAAGUUCAAAGCAUCAAAAGCGAACUGGAGAGUCUCAGAUCUUUCCUCAAAGACGCAGAUGCAAGGGCAGCAGUCGAAGAAUUAGAAGGAGGCGGUGAGGAAAGUGUCAGAACUUGGGUGAAACAACUGAGGGAUGAAGCUUAUCGCAUUGAAGAUGUGAUCGACGAGUACACACUCAUGGUGGCAAAACUCCCUCAUGGGAGUGGCCUCGUUGGUGUUCUCCAUAGAAUCAGUCGUUCCAUAAAGAAGCUGAAGCUGCGGCGUGGAGUUGCUACUGAGAUUCAAGAUAUCAAAUCAGCGCUUGCUGAUAUAAAGCGAAGGGGAGAAAGCUAUCGAUUCAGAUCUAUUGAUGAACCAUCGAGCAGUGGAACCAGAAAUGUUAUCCCACAUGACUCUCGAGUUCGUUCCUUUUUCGUUGAAGAUGAUGAAGUUGUGGGCAUCGAAUCCAUUAAAGAUAAAUUGAUUGAUUUGAUGGUGAACGGAAGAUCCGAACGUUCAGUGGUUGCUGUGGUGGGUGAAGGAGGACUAGGCAAGACCACUCUUGCCGGAAAACUUUUUAACAAUGAUGGUUUAAAAACUCACUUCAGUAGCCGGGCUUGGGUCACCGUUGGGAAAGAAUACAACAAAAAUGAUUUGUUGAGGACGGUUAUAAAGGAGUUUCAUAGUUUCUCAGGGCAGCCUACUCCAGUGGAGAUACACAAAAUGGAAGAGAUGGAGCUGAUCACCACGCUGAGGGGCCACUUGAAGGACAAGAAUUACGUGGUUGUGUUCGACGAUGUUUGGAAGAUUGAUUUUUGGGGAGACGUGGAGCAUGCUUUACUUGAUAACAAGAAAAGCAGCAGGAUAAUGGUCACAACACGGCACAUGAAUGUCGCUAAGGCUUGCAAAUCAUCUUCCUCUGUUCACGUCCAUGAGCUUGAAACUUUGCAUCCGAAUGAAGCGUGGAAACUUUUUUGUAGAAAGGCGUUCGGACCAAGCUCUGGAGGCUCUUGUCCUUCAGAGUUGAGGGAGUUGUCCCAGGACAUCCUUGCAAAAUGUGGAGGUUUGCCUCUUGCUAUCGCGGCCAUAGGUGGACUUCUUUCAACCAAGAACAGGGUUGUAUCUGAAUGGAAGAAAUUAUUUGAUCGGUUGGGCUCAAUCUUAGGAAGUGAACCCCAUCUAAAAGACUGCAACAGAGUUUUAUCUGAAGGGUAUCAUGAUCUUCCUCACCAUCUCAAAUCAUGUCUUCUCUACUUUGGCUUAUUUCCAGAGAGCUGCAAAAUCAACUGUGCUAGACUCAUCCGUUUGUGGAUAGCUGAGGGCUUUGUCCAGUACAGCAAACGCCCCACAUCUGAACAGGUUGCAGAAGAAUACUUGAAUGAGCUCGUUGACAGAAGCUUGGUUCAAGUUUCAGAGAGAGAUAUUUCUGGACGAGCUAGAAUCUGCCAAGUUCAUGAUCUUAUGCACGAGAUCAUCAUCAGAAAAACUGAAGAAUUGGGCUUCGGUCGUGUGCUGAACGGAGAGGACUUGAGUCGCAGCAGUAAAACUCGACGCAUUACUAUGCAGAGAAGUAUUGAUGACGGUGCUUUAGUGAGCAUCAAGGACUCGAAGGUCCGUUCUGUUUUUCUGUUCAAUAUAGAUAAGCUGCCCGACUCUUUCAUGAAUGCAAGUAUUGCCAAUUUCAAGCUCAUGAAAGUACUAGAUCUGGAAGAUGCUCCUGUAGAUUACCUUCCUGAAGGAGUGGGGAACUUAUUCAAUUUGCACUACUUGAGUGUGAGAAAUACAAAUGUAAAAAUAAUUCCCAAGUCCAUUGGAAAUCUUCUCGGUUUAGAGAUUUUGGAUCUGAAAAAUACUUUGGUGAGAGAACUUCCAGUGGAGAUCAGGAAUCU